rnacentral:rRNA from 1 species
CGAGCUUGAUCCUGGCUCAGAUUGAACGCUGGCGGCAUGCCUUACACAUGCAAGUCGAACGGUAACCCGGGGGCAACCCUGGCGACGAGUGGCGAACGGGUGAGUAAUACAUCGGAACAUAUCCAGUAGCGGGGGAUAACCUAUCGAAAGAUUGGCUAAUACCGCAUACGAUCAACGGAUGAAAGCAGGGGACCGCAAGGCCUUGCACUAUUGGAGUGGCCGAUGUCAGAUUAGCUAGUUGGUGGGGUAAAAGCCUACCAAGGCGACGAUCUGUAGCUGGUCUGAGAGGACGAUCAGCCACACUGGAACUGAGACACGGUCCAGACUCCUACGGGAGGCAGCAGUGGGGAAUUUUGGACAAUGGGCGCAAGCCUGAUCCGAGCAUGCCGCGUGAGUGAAGAAGGCCUU